rnacentral:rRNA from 1 species
UGGGGAAUCUUGGACAAUGGGGGCAACCCUGAUCCAGCCAUGCCGCGUGAGUGAUGAAGGCCUUAGGGUCGUAAAGCUCUUUCGCCUGUGAAGAUAAUGACGGUAGCAGGUAAAGAAACCCCGGCUAACUCCGUGCCAGCAGCCGCGGUAAUACGGAGGGGGUUAGCGUUGUUCGGAAUUACUGGGCGUAAAGCGCACGUAGGCGGACUGGAAAGUUGGGGUGAAAUCCCAGGGCUCAACCCUGGAACUGCCUCCAAAACUAUCAGUCUAGAGUUCGAGAGAGGUGAGUGGAAUUCCGAGUGUAGAGGUGAAAUUCGUAGAUAUUUGGAGGAACACCAGUGGCGAAGGCGGCUCACUGGCUCGAUACUGACGCUGAGGUGCGAAAGUGUGGGGAGCAAACAGGAUUAGAUACCCUGGUAGUCCACACCGUAAACGAUGAAUGCCAGUCGUCGGGUAGCAUGCUAUUCGGUGACACACCUAACGGAUUAAGCAUUCCGCCUGGGGAGUACGGUCGCAAG